GUAUACGCCCUUCGGGGGAAAGAAUUUCGGUGAGGGAUCGGCCCGCGUUAGAUUAGUUAGUUGGUGGGGUAAUGGCCUACCAAGACUACGAUCUAUAGCUGGUUUGAGAGGAUGAUCAGCAACACUGGGACUGAGACACGGCCCAGACUCCUACGGGAGGCAGCAGUGGGGAAUCUUAGACAAUGGGGGCAACCCUGAUCUAGCGAUGCCGCGUGAGUGAUGAAGGCCUUAGGGUCGUAAAGCUCUUUCGCCUGUGAUGAUAAUGACAGUAGCAGGUAAAGAAACCCCGGCUAACUCCGUGCCAGCAGCCGCGGUAAUACGGAGGGGGUUAGCGUUGUUCGGAAUUACUGGGCGUAAAGCGCACGUAGGCGGAUUAGUCAGUCAGAGGUGAAAUCCCAGGGCUCAACCCUGGAACUGCCUUUGAUACUGCUAGUCUUGAGU
rnacentral:rRNA from 1 species